rnacentral:rRNA from 1 species
AAUGAACGCUGGCGGCAUGCCUAACACAUGCAAGUCGAACGAGACCUUCGGGUCUAGUCGCGCACGGGUUCGUCACGCGUGGGAACCUUCCCUUAUGGUCGGCAUACCUCUCCGACUGGGGUGCUAAUACCGGAUAAGGUCUUCUGACCAAUGAUUUAUCGCCCUUGGAUGGGCACGCGUUGGAUUAGCUCGUUGUGAGGGUAAUAGCCUACCACGGGCUCGAUGCAUAGAUGGCCUCAGAGGCGGAUUAGCCACACUGGGACUGAGACACGGUCCAGACCCCUAGGGGAGGCAGCAGUACGGAAUCUUCCGGGAUGGGCGAAAGGGUGAAGGAGCAACGCCGCGGGAAUGCUGAAGGCCUUCGGGCCGUAAAACUCUGGAAGGAGGGAAGAAUAUAAGUGUAUUUAACCGGGGACAUCUUGACGGUACCCAAUCAGAAAGCCACGGCUAACUACGUG